rnacentral:rRNA from 1 species
GACGAACGCUGGCGGCGUGCUUAACACAUGCAAGUCGAACGGGUCUGCCCUGUUUUUUGCGGGGUGGGUCAGUGGCGAACGGGUGAGUAACACGUGAGUAACCUGCCCCUCACUUCUGGAUAACCGCUUGAAAGGGUGGCUAAUACGGGGUGUUCUGGCUGUGCCGCAUGGUGUGGCUGGGAAAGAUUCACUUUUGUGGUGUUUUGGUGGGGGAUGGGCUCGCGGCCUAUCAGCUUGUUGGUGGGGUGAUGGCCUGCCAAGGCUUUGACGGGUAGCCGGCCUGGGGGGGUGGGCGGUCACACUGGGGCUGAGGUACGGCCCGGACUCCUGCGGGAGGCAGCAGUGGGGGGUAUUGCACAAUGGGCGGAAGCCUGAUGCAGCGACGUCGCGUGAGGGAUGGAGGCCUUCGGGUUGUGAACCUCUUUCGCCGGUGAAGAAGGUCCUGCUCUUUGUGGUGGGGUUGACGGUAGCCGGGUUAUGAAGCGCCGGCUAACUACGUG